CAGCCGCCGCGGUAAUACGAAGGGUGCAAGCGUUAAUCGGAAUUACUGGGCGUAAAGCGUGCGUAGGUGGUGGUUUAAGUCCGUUGUGAAAGCCCUGGGCUCAACCUGGGAAUUGCAGUGGAUACUGGGUCACUAGAGUGUGGUAGAGGAUAGUGGAAUUUCCGGUGUAGCAGUGAAAUGCGUAGAGAUCGGAAGGAACAUCUGUGGCGAAGGCGACUAUCUGGGCCAACACUGACACUGAGGCACGAAAGCGUGGGGAGCAAACAGGAUUAGAUACCCCGGUAGUCCCUGUCUCUUAUAC
rnacentral:rRNA from 1 species